GGUGGACCGGGCGCCCCUCAGUUCUACCCACCGGGUGCGCCCUACGGAUUUCCGUAUCAGCCCCCGCGCGGACCAGGCGGC
rnacentral:rRNA from 1 species